CAGCAACCACAGGGCACUGAGCAUUCAGGAGUGACUCAGACACACCCAGUCCCCGUUGUCCAAAGAAGACAGACUGUCAACAAAACCUACAAUGGGACACGGCGUCCAGCUCAAUGCUAAUGAAAAUACCUCUGUGGCGUCAGCAUCAAAUUUGCUCAGGCUUGUUCGGUGUGUGACGAAUGACACUGUCAAGGCCUGAGUACCAGCUGGGGAAACCAAGGCAUCAAGAGCUACAGUAACUGUUCUAGCAGCUGGUAGAGCCAGCUCUGUCCUGUGAGGCCACACUGUCCACCUCGUGGUGCUCAUGUCACCGGCAAGAACCCUGGGG